rnacentral:tRNA from 1 species
GCGGCGGUGGCGGAACCGGUAGACGCGAUGGCCUCAAAAGCCAUUGUCCUUCGGGACGUGUGGGUUCGAGUCCCACCCGCCGCA